rnacentral:rRNA from 1 species
CGAAAACUCGCCCACAGCCUUGGGGUCGAUCUCGACCUCGAGGCGGUGGAGCGGAAUCUGAGUGUUCCGGGGAGCGGUGGUGCGGUGUGUAUUUUCUUGUACAUACUGCCUGUUCGUCCCCUGAGUUCACCCAAGCCUAGAGAGCUACCUAUUGUCCGGGCUUCUGUUCUCUUUGCGGCGUUGUUGACAGGUUCACCUUGCGUCCUCCGGAGGAUCCGUUGUUGGCGUCGCCCCCUCUCGCGGGGCGGGGACACGGCGGGUCGCCGGGGAUGUGCGCGGGUGACCUUGAGGCGUCGCUGGAGGCAGGUUCACCUUGCGUCCUCCGGAGGAUCCGUUGUUGACGUCGCCCCCUUCUCGCGGGGCGGGGACACGACGGGUCGCCGGGGAUGUGCGCGGGUGAUCUUGAGGCGUCGCUGGAGGCAGGUUCGCCUUGCGUCCUCCGGAGGAUCCGUUGUUGACGGCGCCCCCUUCUCGCGGGGCGGGGACACGACGGGUCGCCGGGGAUGUGCGCGGGUGAUCUUGAGGCGUCGCUGGAGGCCCGUGGACGGUAGGCAGUCUCGAGAGUGCCGGUGAGAGGCCGGUGAUAAUGAUGAUGCCAUACCCCCGAUCAAGCAAGAAGACCCGCUGAAUUUAAGCAUAUA